CUGAGAUUUGUCUCUGAUAUUCAGGCCGGCGUGUUUCAAGGUUACUUUUCAGUCACAACCGAGGACUCUCAGGUCUGCACGGUUUGGGACACAGAAGGAAGCCGCCGGCAGCAUCUUUUGCUGCUGAAAUGCAGAUGGUUUGGACACUUCAUAAAGAGGGCAUUAAUAAGCCCGCCGAGUGAGCGCCAGGGCGGGAUUCUCCCACAAAUUCAAGGCAUUCCUUUAGUUAGAUGGAGAAGUUAUCAGAAACCUGGGAGAAAAGAAAAUACUCAGAGAAAGCCUAAGCGACCGUAUACACUGGGAGCUGAGGGUCCAUUAGCUCUCCUUGCAAGGAAGCUUCAGUUUUCUCAUCUGGAAAAGGGGGAUAAUAGCAGAAGCCACCUCUUCAGACUAGCUUCUCAGCAUUACAGCUGAGAAAGUUCUCAACAUUUUACACAGAGAGAUGCAUUAUACUAUGUUUUAUAAUUUGUCCUCUCAACUCUUACUUAAAACAACCUUCUUAAAAAAAUAAACACAUUUGCUCAAAAUGACACCACACAUUUGAAAAGAUUAUUUCUCAUCUCUAUACAUGAUAUAGUAGCUGUGCUGAGCUCUGGGCCAAAGACUGCUCCAGAAUUGGAAAACAUGUUCUACCCACUUGUGACUCUCCCUAGCCAAGAGCCAGACCUUGUCUUCAAUUCCAUGGCUUUCCCUUCGUUUGAAGGUUAAAGUCAGCAUUUCACUUUUACUGCUGUUAAUAACUCCCAACUUUUCCAUAUUUCCAUUUUUUUCUAAACUCUUUACUACAUGCUAACACUGCCUUCAUUUUUUCUCUGCCCUCUUCCUGAGGUCACUUGGUCCUAGAAGCCUCAGGUUCCAAAUGUUUUUGCAACCUCCCCUUUACCCUCCCCGGUAACAUGCUGUUCACCAUUCCACUUUCUGAUUUCCUUUUCUGUUCCUUUAGUAGUCUCUGCACUUCCCCUCCUCUCCCAUCUGUAAAGCCAUCUUUCUUCCAAGUGAUGUUCUCCAGGUGACCUGAAUCUGGCAGAAGCCUCCUCCAUCCAUCUUUUUAGAAGGACCCUCAGUUGCCAGAGCCAGUCUGACACCUUCUUCCAUACCAGCUGCUUCAGACCAGCCUGGGGGCCUGCUCUGGGGGUGGAACCAUUGUCAAGUUUCACCCAUCAGCUAAAAACAUGCCACUUGGAUUCAUUGCAGGGACUUUCUUAGUUGACGAGUGGGAGCAGAGGUCCCCAUAAUCAGCAGCUGGUUUGCUCAUUGCUGGGAAACACAGAAGACAGGUCGGUCACUGGACAGGGGGUGCAGAACCCAGCGCUGGAGUGCACAGAGGAUGCAGACACACACAGAGAGAAGAACGUGUAAGAUGUCCAUCUGCAAGACAAGGAGAGAGGCUUCAGGAGAAAGCAACCCUGCUCACACUUUGAUCACAGACUUGUGGCCUCCAGAAUGAGACCGUGAAUCCCCUGAUUGCUGACUCCCUGGUCCCAGCACUGUGCUGAUGAAUUCCUGAUGUCCACGGAGCUACUACAAGAUCUGAGAUUUAUAGCUCUGAAACUUCAGAAGAUAAUCGAGAUGAUACCUUUGGAUAAAGAACCUGAAUGUAUCAACUAGACUGUUUGAAAAGACACAUUUUAAUAAAUAACCUGAAUAUAUAAGCCAGAUUGUUUCAAGGGCUGUAGAAGAAACAUUUUAAAUCCUUUCUCUGAAAAAACUAUUAAAAACACAGAAAACGGGAUACUAAUAGAAACAAUCCAGAAAGGCUUAGCAGGACAACUCAGCAAAACAACACAUCAAUGACCACUUUUAACAGUCUGUGGAAGUCUUUUGCCAGUAAGGGAAGCCAUGGAGUUGUCCUUGAUGCUUUUGUUUUUAGUCCUGUAACCUAGUCAUUAAAACCUCCCAUGGAACUUUUGCUUGGUGGCAUCUUGGAUUGGGAGAAGACAACGGUCUUCUUGUCUGUCACCUACACAUGUCAACGGUUGAGAGCUAUAAAUCAGUACAUCCAAAAAAAUUGCUCUUUCCUUGAUGUAAUCCCAAACGUAUCCAACAUACAAAUGAAAUUAGCUUCCUAUAAUUUAGUUGUCUUGUUCACAUACCUCAAGAUAAGCUUCUUCCAAGACGCCAUUCCCAAAGAAUAAAAAUUAGAAGAUCAAGA
rnacentral:lncRNA from 10 species